rnacentral:rRNA from 1 species
AACGAACGCUGGCGGCAGGCCUAACACAUGCAAGUCGAACGCCCCGCAAGGGGAGUGGCAGACGGGUGAGUAACGCGUGGGAACCUACCAAGUGGUACGGAACAACCCAGGGAAACUUGGGCAAAUACCGUAUACGCCCCCAGGGGGAAAGAUUUAUCGCCAUUGGAGGGGCCCGCGAUGGAUUAGCUACUUGGGGGGGUAAUGGCCUACCAAGGCAACGAGCCAUAGCUGGUCUGAGAGGAUGAUCAGCCACACUGGGACUGAGAAACGGCCCAGACUGCUACGGGAGGCAGCAGUGGGGAAUGUUGGACAAUGGGCGCAAGCCUGAGCCAGCCAGGUCGUGUGAGUGAAGAAGGCCGUAGGGUUGUAAAGUUCUUUCGGCGGGGACGAUAAUGACGGUACCCGCAGAAGAAGCCCCGGCUAACUCCGUGCCAGCCGCCGCCGUAACAC